UCCUGACAGUCACAUCCCGUGACUGACACUAGCCACGACAGGAGAACCACAUG
ncrna:unclassified sequences Mu-gpT-DE RNA